rnacentral:rRNA from 1 species
UACAGAGGGGCAAGCGUUGUUCGGAAUUACUGGGCGUAAAGGGCGCGUAGGUGGCCUUCUAAGUUGAACGUGAAAUCCCUGGGCUCAACCCAGGAACUGCGUCCAAGACUGGGAGGCUUGAAUCCGGGAGAGGGAUGCGGAAUUCCAGGUGUAGCGGUGAAAUGCGUAGAUAUCUGGAGGAACACCGGUGGCGAAGGCGGCAUCCUGGACCGGUAUUGACACUGAGCGCGAAAGCCAGGGAGCAA